UAGAGUUUGAUCAUGGCUCAGAUUGAACGCUGGCGGCAGGCUUAACACAUGCAAGUCGAGCGGUAGCACAGGGGAGCUUGCUCCCUGGGUGACGAGCGGCGGACGGGUGAGUAAUGUCUGGGAAACUGCCUGAUGGAGGGGGAUAACUACUGGAAACGGUAGCUAAUACCGCAUAACGUCGCAAGACCAAAGAGGGGGACCUUCGGGCCUCUUGCCAUCAGAUGUGCCCAGAUGGGAUUAGCUAGUAGGUGGGGUAAUGGCUCACCUAGGCGACGAUCCCUAGCUGGUCUGAGAGGAUGACCAGCCACACUGGAACUGAGACACGGUCCAGACUCCUACGGGAGGCAGCAGUGGGGAAUAUUGCACAAUGGGCGCAAGCCUGAUGCAGCCAUGCCGCGUGUGUGAAGAAGGCCUUCGGGUUGUAAAGCACUUUCAGCGAGGAGGAAGGUGGUGAGCUUAAUACGUUCAUCAAUUGACGUUACUCGCAGAAGAAGCACCGGCUAACUCCGUGCCAGCAGCCGCGGUAAUACGGAGGGUGCAAGCGUUAAUCGGAAUUACUGGGCGUAAAGCGCACGCAGGCGGUUUGUUAAGUCAGAUGUGAAAUCCCCGGGCUCAACCUGGGAACUGCAUUUGAAACUGGCAAGCUAGAGUCUCGUAGAGGGGGGUAGAAUUCCAGGUGUAGCGGUGAAAUGCGUAGAGAUCUGGAGGAAUACCGGUGGCGAAGGCGGCCCCCUGGACGAAGACUGACGCUCA
rnacentral:rRNA from 1 species